rnacentral:rRNA from 1 species
CAGUAGCCGCGGUAAAACGCAGGUGGCAAGCGUUAUCCGGAAUUAUUGGGCGUAAAGCGCGCGUAGGCGGUUUUUUAAGUCUGAUGUGAAAGCCCACGGCUCAACCGUGGAGGGUCAUUGGAAACUGGAAAACUUGAGUGCAGAAGAGGAAAGUGGAAUUCCAUGUGUAGCGGUGAAAUGCGCAGAGAUAUGGAGGAACACCAGUGGCGAAGGCGACUUUCUGGUCUGUAACUGACGCUGAUGUGUGAAAGCGUGGGGAUCAAACAGGAUUAGAUACCCCAGUAGUCCCUGUCUCUUAUAC